UGGGGAAUAUUGCACAAUGGGCGCAAGCCUGAUGCAGCGACGCCGCGUGAGGGAUGACGGCCUUCGGGUUGUAAACCUCUUUCAGCAGGGACGAAGCGCAAGUGACGGUACCUGCAGAAGAAGCACCGGCCAACUACGUGCCAGCAGCCGCGGUAAUACGUAGGGUGCGAGCGUUGUCCGGAAUUACUGGGCGUAAAGAGCUCGUAGGCGGUUUGUCGCGUCGUCUGUGAAAUUCUGCAGCUUAACUGCAGGCGUGCAGGCGAUACGGGCAGACUUGAGUACUACAGGGGAGACUGGAAUUCCUGGUGUAGCGGUGAAAUGCGCAGAUAUCAGGAGGAACACCGGUGGCGAAGGCGGGUCUCUGGGUAGUAACUGACGCUGAGGAGCGAAAGCGUGGGUAGCGAACAGGAUUAGAUACCCUGGUAGUCCACGCCGUAAACGGUGGGUACUAGGUGUGGGUUCCAUUUCACGGGAUCCGUGCCGUAGCUAACGCAUUAAGUACCCCGCCUGGGGAGUACGGCCGCAAGGC
rnacentral:rRNA from 1 species